rnacentral:rRNA from 1 species
CCUACGGGAGGCAGCAGUGAGGAAUAUUGGUCAAUGGGCGCGAGCCUGAACCAGCCAAGUAGCGUGAAGGAUCCCCGCCCUACGGGUUGUAAACUUCUUUUAUAAAGGAAUAAAGUGAGGCACGUGUGCCUUUUUGUAUGUACUUUAUGAAUAAGGAUCGGCUAACUCCGUGCCAGCAGCCGCGGUAAUACGGAGGAUCCGAGCGUUAUCCGGAUUUAUUGGGUUUAAAGGGAGCGUAGAUGGGUUGUUAAGUCAGUUGUGAAAGUUUGCGGCUCAACCGUAAAAUUGCAAUUGAUACUGGCAGCCUUGAGUACAGUUGAGGUAGGCGGAAUGCGUGGUGUAGCGGUGAAAUGCUUAGAUAUCACGAAGAACUCCGAUUGCGAAGGCAGCAUACUAAACUGCCACUGACAUUGAUGCUCGAAAGCGUGGGGAGCAAACAGGAUUAGAUACCCCGGUAGUC